rnacentral:rRNA from 1 species
CCUACGGGAGGCAGCAGUGAGGAAUAUUGGUCAAUGGACGAGAGUCUGAACCAGCCAAGUAGCGUGAAGGAUGACUGCCCUAUGGGUUGUAAACCUCUUUUGUCGGGGAGCAAAAGACGCCACGCGUGGCGUUCCGAGAGUACCCGAAGAAAAAGCAUCGGCUAACUACGUGCCAGCAGCCGCGGUAAUACGGAGGAUGCGAGAGUUAUCCGGAUUUAUUGGGUUUAAAGGGUGCGUAGGCGGAAUAUCAAGUCAGCGGUAAAAAUUCGGGGCUCAACCCCGUCGUGCCGUUGAAACUGAUGUUCUUGAGUGGGCGAGAGGUAUGCGGAAUGCGUGGUGUAGCGGUGAAAUGCAUAGAUAUCACGCAGAACUCCGAUUGCGAAGGCAGCAUACCGGCGCCCAACUGACGCUGAAGCACGAAAGCGUGGGUAUCGAACAGGAUUAGAUACCCCUGUAGUC